rnacentral:sRNA from 1 species
AGUGCUGUAUUGUUGAGUUUUGUAUGAACUAAUCUAGCUUCCCUAAAAAAAAAAAAAGAAAAAAAAAAAGAAAAGAAAGAAAGAAAAGAAAGAAAGAAAGAAAAAAAAAGAAAAGAAAAAAAAAGAACCACAGCUUUGGACAAAAGUCUAUAGCCAGUGCAUUUGAAACUCCCCUUGCACCAGGGCUGACUGUAGCUGGGGGAAGACAUUUUACUCAUUUGCUCUUUCCUUUCAUACAGUCAGCUGGUCCCUCUUCUCAGGUGUAGAUCACCUAUUAUAAUUUUACCUAAUUUUGAUACUCUGAUAAGGAAAGUCCCAGGACUUAUCAGCUGGGAUAGGCCUCACUUACAAGACAGCUCUGUUCAGUAUUUGGAAGAAAGCCUGACAGGUUUCUUCGGAAAAGUGGCCAUCCAUGGAAUGAAUGAAAUGUUCUCUUUCUAUUCCAGGGAUUGCAGUGGCAAAGCUAGGCUAGGUCUUGGAGGCUGGUGUAAGGCGAUGCGGGUGAAGGCAGGAGGCUGAUGGAAAGACUGGGGGGAAGAAAAGCCGAAAUGGAUUCACGGUGCCUUGGAUGAAGGACGAGAGGGGAACUGCAAGCUCCUUCAACUGGUUCUGUCCGGUGAGAAGUGAUCAAGCUUGGGCUGACAAGAGGCUCAGGGAGCCCUCACGUUCUUUCGCUUUUUUACCUGCCAAUCAAACUGCUACAAGACAACACCCUGAUCUGGCAUGGACAUCGCGGGUCCAAGCCUGUAGCCCCAAAUCGGAUAAUCUCUGCAGCUGAUAACAAGCAAAAGAGAAGCCAGGCAACAGCCAUAUUAAAGAAGAAAACAAUCAACUCUGAGAUCCAACUUAGAAAUAAUGUUUCAUUCAAGAUAAGGCUCGUGAUUUAGGAGAUUGUGACCUGGCUUGCAUCAUUCUAAGACUUCUAUCAUCUGUUUUCAAAACCCAAGGAGGACCUCAUUUUCUGUGUGAUAGUUCCUCAUGCUUUGCCAGCCACUGUGUCUUUAAGGAAGCUUGCCAAGAGUUCCUGGCUGGGAAGGACAGUUCGAGUUCAUCAUAGACAAUGAGCUGGCACCACAUUUUAAGUGACUCACCAACCUGGUUGCCCACUUCAAAAUGUCAAGAACCACACUAUCUAAUUGAAAGAACUGUGUUUUAGCAAAGUGUAAUUGGAUCACCUGGCAAGAUCAUCUCAAACUGUGUCUCUGACCUUGCCUUUCAGUGGCUGUUUUGAGCACAAGAGGAGAAAGGAAAUGAUUCCUGAAUUAUAUCUUGUUUUUAAAAAUUAAGAUUAAUUAAUACUUGGUUUUAUGUUCAUUCCAUUGUAGGAACUUCAUGAUUAUUACAAAACAGUCAAAAUAGGUCAUAGCAAAAUGAACGUUUAAGAUUAGGUUAAAACAUUCCUCUGAAAUUUUAGUAUUCACUUUUGAAGUGUCAAUUACUAUAUUUCUGUAUCUUUUUUUCUUGGCUUAGAGUCAAGAUGAAAAAUGAUAUUUGAAUCAAAGACAUUGUUUUGUUAUAUAGCCACUCCUUUCUAAAAUGCAAACCCACCCUCCCCUCACCAAUGCUUUAUUAUUUGUGCACACACACACACACACACACACAGACAUACACAGAACCAGCACCCAAAUGGUAGAGGAGGUCCUUUUGAGACUUCUAGGACGUGGAUCAUGUAAGCAGUAGAUGAGAAAAUGAAGUAAGAGGUAUAGAGCAAUAACAAUAAAAGUCAAUGAUUUCAUUUUACAAAAAAAGUUAUUGUGUAGUACUCAGAUAUUUUUAAAAGCAAGUAUUAUUAUGACUAAAGUAUAUUAUACUUCUAAAUUAUUAUGAUUCUCAUCUAAUUUCAAGCCACACAUAGGAGCCAUUUGAAAGCAUUUUGUAUUACAACCUAUCAACAAAAAUCAACUAAUAGUUUUAUAAUGUGAAAAGGUUUACCCCAUGGGGUAUUAAAAUUUUUAUCUGCAAGUAUUUCUAUUGUUGUGAGACUUUAGGACAAGACAACAUUUGGUAUUAACAUAGAAUAUUCUAUGGCUUUUUUAGCUUUAAAGUUCAUUACUCUAAAAUAAAGUACACGUGGUAUUUUUUUCUUCCUAGUGUUCUCUUAUUAUAUGUAGAGUAUUUUCGGUUGUUAUUUUUAAUGUAUACAUUAUUUUUAUUAAGUCAUUUGGUAAAAGAUAAGAUAUAUACUAAUAGACCCUUACUUUUCUCCUAAUUUAAUUAUUUCAAGUCAAGCAAAAUUGGGCACUUCUCUUUCAGGAAAAAAAAAAUAUUGAGCAUGAUUUUGAGGCAAAACUGAUUAUUUACAGCAUCUUUUCUCUAAUAGACUAACGUUUAUGAUGGAUCUUAUUUCAAAGUUGAUUAUUCUCAAAGAAAAGUGGAGAUAUUAGGAUUUCCAAGUAAAUUGCAUUGUUUUAAAAAGUACUUUAAUGCAUUGUUGACAUUGUUGCCAGCUAUUGACCAAAAAAGAGAAGAAG